UAUUUACUCCCUCCGUCCAACAAAAAGAUUUCUCAAAUUUGACUAAAUUUGAAUAUAUCUAGACAUAUGUGCAUUCAAAUUUAGUCAAAUUUGAGACAUCUUUUGUUGGACGGAGGGAGUACUUG
rfam:Brachypodium distachyon strain Bd21 chromosome 4, whole genome shotgun sequence.